CCCUUAGAUGUUCUGGGCAGCACGCGCGCUACAAUGGUCUUCGCAAACGGAUGCAUUCUCGAAGGAGAAUGCCAAUCUUGGAAUCUAUGCCUUGGUCGGGACAGUUGCUUGCAAUUUUUCGACUCGAACCAGGAAUUCCUUGUAAUCGUGAUUCAUCACAUCACGAUGAAUACGUCCCUGCCCUUUUUACACACCGCCCGUCGCUCCUACCGAUCGAAGAGUUAGGUGAAUUGUUUUGAUCGAUAAGAUUUGACUAUGGUCAACUCUCGUUGUGAAAUUCUGUGAAUCUGACUGUUUAGAGGAAGGAAAAGUCGUAACA
rnacentral:rRNA from 1 species